CUACUAAUGUAUUAAAUGAUCCUCUCUACUUUCCUUUUCCAGGGCCUCCUGCCUCUGAUAAAACCAAGAAUCCCAGGGGUAUAUGUGAAAUCCAGUCUAUGGGUUGAUCCUGGUACUGUUGCCUCAAGGGAGGAGGACAGCCCGCGGGCCUGCCAAGGUGUCCUGUGAUCUUCAACUGAACAUCUGUGCCUUGCAGUGCUGUGGGUGCUUUGGCAGAGUCUCAUCAGCAGCACUGAUGCUGCCAAGCAUUUUGUCCAGGUUCCCUGGGCAGCUCUUCUGGGCCAGAGCCUGUGCUGGGAGCUGAGGACAGACAGAUCAGACCUGCUCCUCAUUCUUGAGAAGACAGCCAACAGAGAAAUGAGAAUGCUGAGGCUGACCGUGAGCAAAAUGAAUUCAGAGUAUGAGUCCAUCAUACGAACCAGAAACCCUCAUGUCCAGCUUUGUCACUUCCUAAUCCAAAGCGUCCCAGGAUCUAGAGAUCCUGACCACUCCAACUGGGCAAGAGCACUCGUGGUGACCCCCACAGGAAGUGCUAACGGGGGAUUCCAGGCACCGGGGAGUCCCCAUGAUCUGUGCAUCCCACAAGGGCCAUGGCCGCCUGGAUCCUAUCAUAGGCCAAGGCCCAGAGUGGAUCCCUGCACUCCCUCUGAGGUUAGAUGGGAAACUGGAGAGGACCCGGAAGACCUUUCUGUGCUGUAA
rnacentral:lncRNA from 1 species